rnacentral:rRNA from 1 species
GAUGAACGCUGGCGGCGUGCUUAACACAUGCAAGUCGAACGAAGCAUUUAGGACAGAUUACUUCGGUUUGAAGUUCUUUAUGACUGAGUGGCGGACGGGUGAGUAACGCGUGGGUAACCUGCCUUGUACUGGGGGAUAGCAGCUGGAAACGGCUGGUAAUACCGCAUAAGCGCACAAUGUUGCAUGACAUGGUGUGAAAAACUCCGGUGGUAUAAGAUGGACCCGCGUCUGAUUAGCUAGUUGGUGAGAUAACAGCCCACCAAGGCGACGAUCAGUAGCCGACCUGAGAGGGUGACCGGCCACAUUGGGACUGAGACACGGCCCAGACUCCUACGGGGGGCAGCAGUGGGGAAUAUUGCACAAUGGAGGAAACUCUGAUGCAGCGACGCCGCGUGAGUGAAGAAGUAAUUCGUUAUGUAAAGCUCUAUCAGCAGGGAAGAUAGUGACGGUACCUGACGAAGAAGCUCCGGCUAAAUACGUG